UCCAGACCCUCUUGGCCCAGGCAAGGGAACUGCUUGAGCAGCUCCGUCUUCUGCCGCUUAUAGUUGUCGGUAGCCGAGCGCCAGUGGGGCUCCUCCAGCACCUCGAAGAUCGCCGCCCCAAUGGACAGGUAGAAGAUGAUGGCCGAGGUUCAGCGAAAUUCCUCGUUUUCGACGCCGGGAGGCUGUGAAAUUAGGUCUGUGGCUUUCCUGGAUGCGUGGAAGCAUGGGGGGAAGCUGAGCAGGAGCUUUGAGGAGAAAAGAUGUCUGUCGGCAGAUUUCACCCCUUCCCUGAGACGUCCACACGUGGGCAUUACAGUUCAUUAAGAGCAGAAACUGCAUCUCAAUUUCUUUCAUGCCUUUGGUACCCUCAAUAAAUAUUGCUAUGUCCCUGUC